rnacentral:rRNA from 1 species
UACGUAGGGGGCUAGCGUUGUCCGGAAUCAUUGGGCGUAAAGAGCGUGUAGGCGGUCCGGUAAGUCCACUGUGAAAGUCGGGGGCUCAACCCUCGAAUGCCGGUGGAUACUGUCGGGCUAGAGUGCGGAAGAGGCGAGUGGAAUUCCUGGUGUAGCGGUGAAAUGCGCAGAUAUCAGGAGGAACACCUAUUGCGAAGGCAGCUCGCUGGGACGCAACUGACGCUGGAGACGCGAAAGCGUGGGGAGCAAACAGG